ensembl:lncRNA
CUGGUUACAGACCCUGGUCCCCUAAGAACGUGAGCGGGAAACUGCAGAGCGGAUUCAGAACACAUGAAACUCAAGACGGAUGAUCAAAAUGUGAAUGCUUCACUCCUUCUUUAAAAAGGGAACAAGAAUACCCUUGGCAGGGAAUAGAGAGGCAAAGAUUAAAACAGACACAGAAGGAACACCCAUUCAGAGCCUGCCCCACAUGUGGCCCAUACAUAUACAGCCAUCCAAUUAGACAAGAUGGAUGAAGCAAAGAAGUGCAGGCCGACAGGAGCCGGAUGUAGAUCUCUCCUGAGAGACACAGCCAGAAUACAGCAAAUACAUAGGCGAAUGCCAGCAGCAAACCACUGAACUGAGAACAGGACCCCCGUUGAAGGAAUCAGAGAAAGGACUGGAAGAGCUUGAAGGGGCUUGAGACCCCAUAUGUACAACAAUGCCAAGCAACCAGAGCUUCCAGGGACUAAGCCACUACCUAAAGACUAUACAUGGACUGACCCUGGACUCUGACCUCAAAGGUAGCAAUGAAUAUCCUAGUAAGAGCACCAGUGGAAGGGGAAGCCCUUGGUCCUGCCAAGACUGAACCCCCAGUGAACGUGAUUGUUGGGGGGAGGACGGUAAUGGGGGGAGGAUGGAGAGGGGAACACCCAAUGCUUUUAUGUUUAAAAGCAAGCUUAGAUUUGGGACCAGGGUAAUUUAAUUCCCACAGCGACUGAUGUUGAAUGCUUCUAUGAUGUCACAACCCUCUUGAGCAAAGGAUGACCACUUAAACAGUUAGAUGGACAGUCCUCGUGCCAGCAAUUUAAACACUCCCUGGACACCUUGAGGAAGCUACCUGGAAAUGACAGCAGCUUGCUAACAGAGUAACGCCAGCUCCAGAAGGCACUGGAAGCCUUGUUUCAGCUUCGCCUGUUUCAGUUUGUGCUGGACUUGGCGAACUCUAGAUAACCCUGCAGACAUCUCCACCCAGGCCAGAGGACUGUCACCUCCCCAAGUGGCACAGCAGAAGGCCUGUGAUCAGUCCGCCGUUUGCAUAAAAGUCUGCCACAAUUGGCGCACACCCACUUCUCGUCUAUGCUCACUCCGCCCCAUGCUGGAGGAAGUGUCAGGAUCCAUCGAGCAGGGACACCUACCCAAUGGCCAGAGUUGACCGACACCAGGAGCAUCUCAAGGCAUCCCCGCUCCUCCGAAUCUCAGCAUCCAGGAUGAAGGUCAAGUGCUUACAGCAGGAGUUCACUGAUAAAUAAUUGCAAGACAGGCUGACUGCAGGAUGCUUGGGGCAGAUGUACAAGGAAGGAGAGCCUAGGAAGGGUGACGAGGGGCAACAGAGGCUGUGUGCCCGCCCCCAAGGGCUGCAAGGCAGACAAGAGCACCAACAGCAAACAGCAAGCUUGGGGUACCCGCCACCAUCCCUGGGCCACCUGGUCCCAGUUCUGUCCCCACCUGCCGCAGCUCCAACCACCAGCACGUCUUCAUCACAUGCCCUUAAUUAUUCUAUCCUCAUGACAGCCCUGGUGUCGUCAGAAUAAGGAAACUGAGGCACAGAGACGCUUCGGCAUCCAGUAAGGUCACAGCACACAAGCUGCCCGGCUCCCCAGGCUGGGGCCGCUGUCCCGCUCUGUCCCGGCCAUCGAGGGCUGCAAGGGUAGAUGACAUCUGCUUCCCUUCCCUUGCUCACCCUCCGUCUGCCUGCACAUCACCCUCCUCCUUCACAAACGAGCGUCGAAUGAACAAAUGGAUGGAUUUGUUAUCGCUCUCUGUCAAGUACUUCCGUGCCUCAUUGAAUCUGAGCCGAGCACCCUUGAAGGCCCUUCCAGCAUCUUCUCUCCCAGCAGAGCAGUCUGCUUGUGCCUUCUAAGGAGGUCUCGUGCCAGGUAUGGACAGGCUGGUGAAUGAUGGAGGUCUACUUGUCUGUAUACUCCACAAAGACUUUUUUUUUUUACAAUGAGGCUGAGGUCUCUGUGGAUAAUUCCAGCCCCAGGGCCAGCACCUAUGGCGUACCUACAGCUGUGUGCCUGUCUACCUGCCCACUCGAGGCCAGGUGCACGGAGGGGCGGAGAAGCUGGCCUCUCCACCAGCUGCUCCCGCCCCUCAGUGCUCUGGUUUCCUGGAAUCGAGGGUACCUCCUGGCAUCCUGCACCUCAGGUCUCAAGCGGCUUCCUGCUUUGUUUCUAAAGGUCCCCAGUGGGUGUGUCACAUCCCUGGUAUCACAAAAUGUCAGCAGAGGGGCUGUCCCAGGGCUGACACAGGGGUCAGGGUCAGAGCUUCUAGUGAGCUUGGGUUUCAACACUACUCCAUCUCUCUACAAUAAACUCCCCGUGGCAGGGGAUGUGGCAGCAAUCGUCUCAGAAGCUGCCACUCUUGUCUCAGUAGGUUCUUGGCACAUGGUCUGAGAUACUUGUCAGCACAGGCUUUAAAGAGCUGUUUUAAGUAAAACCAUGUUAUGAAAGCGCUCUCUCUCUCUCUCUCUCUCUCUCUCUCUCUCUCUCUCUCACACACACACACACACACACACACACACACACACACACACACACCUCAAUUAUGUGGCUCUUAAGUGUGGAUUUUGUAGAUGGUAUCAUGAGAAGACGAAGCCCCUGCUGCUGCCACUGCUGGUGCCUGACCUGUGGGAUGCUGGGUGUAGGAGGCUGUGGACAGAGGGAAGCUCCAGUCAUGGAGUCCAAGGCUGCCUCACCUUAUGACAGCCGUGCCCUGGCCAGUGGAGAACUGAGAAGGGGUUCUCUUCUUCCUGCAGUGCUGUGAGCAUUCCACCUUUUUCUUUCUUCGAGGCUGGCUACCCGGAGGCUGAGACAGAACUUUCUGGUUUUUGCCUUUGGUAGAAGUGUCUCCAAGGGGCAGCCCCGUGCAGCCCAGAUAGAAAGUGAAUGAAUAAAUUGAUGGAAGAAAAGGAGGAGGAGGAGAAGUAGUAGAGGAAGAGAGGGAAGGGGUGGGGGAAGAAGAAGAGGGGGAGGAGGAGGAAGAAGAAGGAGAGGAAGAAAAAAAGAGGAGGAACAGGAAGAGCUUUCUCUAGACAAGUUUGCUCUCAGAAAGGUCCAGGGACUGAGGAGCUUGGAGCAUACAGUCUAUCCACUAGCAGCUACACUUCUCAACUGCCCUCAGCCUCAGUUUCCUCAUCUGAAAAGUGGGGCGAAAGCUCCUGCCUCUCACGGACAUGGCAGCUUUCUUGGUGGAGGCAGAGAGAGGUGGCUUUCUUUGCAGGUUUUUUUUUUUUUUGGCAGGGUGGGGUAGGAUGAGCUUUUUGUUUGUUUGUUUUUGGGACAUGAGCUUGUCAAGUAGUCUAGACUGGCCUGGAGCUCACUAUGUGGACCAGGUCACCUUCAAACCUGAGACACCCCCCACCCCAGCCCACUCCCCCAUCUUAGCUCUCUGCUGUGGGGAGGGGGGUUAGGAAUGAGCCACCAUCUCUGCCUCCAAUGUGCUUUGUUGUUUGGUUUACUUCUGCUUCCCUGGGGUUUCCUCCGUUGGCCGUGGCAUCACAAUGAAUAAGGCCUGGCUGGACUUUUGUCUCAGACAAAAUUCAGAACAAACCAAAUUUGCCUGAAAACUCUAGCAGUUGCUGGGAGUGAGGAGAGCAGACCUGGGGAAGUGGGGCACAGGUCAGCCUUAGCAGAAAGGACAUGAGAGGCCUGAAACCUUCUUCCCUGCUCCCCCAUCCAUUUCUUGCACCCCUAGAUGUCCCUGACUUGCUUCCUGCUCCCUAUUUGCUACCUGAGAAUCUCCAGAGCCCAGGCUGUACCUGCUCUCCAGCUGCUGCCUUUUCUCUGAAAUCUGAUCCUGAGGGUUCUGGCACCCCUUUCCUACACUACCCUGCAAGCUGCUCUCUCCUGGCUCUGCUCCCACAAUCUCUGUUGGACAUGCUGUGUCUCUGGCAUAUGGUGGCCCCUUUCCCCAGGCAUCGCCAGCUCAGGUCUCUCAGCAGACACAGGGAACAGCUGGGUCCCUGGGUUUGGGGGAACCUUGCUCAUCGCUCUCUCAGCUCUCAGGUGGCUCCCUCUCAGCCUCUGGCCUCGCUGUCUAGAGAAGAGUGAGGAGCUCCUUUUGUAGAAGGAAACUGAGAGGCGGCGUGACUCAGACAUGUCGAUAGGUACCCGUUCCCAUCAGUUGGGGCUUCCCUAGACACAGUAUCACAGAAUCUAAUGCUGCAUCCAGCCUCUGGUGGAAGGAAGGCUGUGAUUAAGUAUCGAUGUCUGCCAGGCAUGGGUGCAACUGAUUAGCAGUGUCUACCAUGCAUAGGUGCAAUUGAUUAGCAGAGUCUACCAUGCAUAGGUGCAAUUGAUUAGCAGAGUCUACCAUGCAUAGGUGCAAUUGAUUAGCAGAGUCUACCAUGCAUAGGUGCAAUUGAUUAGCAGAGUCUACCAUGCAUAGGUGCAAUUGAUUAGCAGAGUCUACCAUGCAUAGGUGCAAUUGAUUAGUAGUGUCUACCAUGCAUAAUAUAAUCAAUUAGCAAUGUCUGCCAAAUGUGCAACUUCAUGAAUGCCAGAGAUUGUUGACUACUGUUUCUCAAUACUCUGCAAAUAUUCUGCUAAUUGUUAAGUGACCGUUAGAUGACGAGAGAGAGACAGACGGACAGACAGACAGACAGACAGACAGACAGACAGAGACAGAGAGAGAAACAGAGAGGCAGAUAGAUGAGUGCUAGAUCGACCUGUGAUCGGCUGGAAUGCUUGCCCAAGCUUGGAUGUGGAUCUGAGAGAGGUUAGAGCAUACCUGUGUGCAGAAACCUGAUUGCUGUACAUGACCAAGAUGUUCUCAACAGCCUGGCUUUCCUCACAGAGGAAGCUUCCCUCAGUUUCUAGCAGCACUGUCCUUCUAGCCUGAGAUGACAGAGCUCCAACAGCAAUGACAUAGACACAAUACUGCUGAAUUCUCUUUCUCGUAGAGCCGAGUUGGAAUGAGCUAGGCAGCUACUAGGCUCCACCCCCAGAUGAGAGUCUCACGUUACAUAGUGUUAUUGUACCCACUGCUUACAAUCACCUUCUAUUUAUAGGAAGAUUGGGUUUUCAAGCCACAGAAGUGAUGUGAAGAAGAAUCCUUAAAUAAGUGUAUUUAAACAAACAAACAAAAAAAGGUGAAUGUAUUUUAAAACUUUCCUGGAAAUAAUUGCAAAACUACCAUGCAUAGAUCAUUAAAAGAGAGAGCACCAAAUCCUUCCCAGACCUUGUCAGCAGUGGAAAUAAGUUGUAUUUCUGUAUGGGAGCUGAAGCAAGAGAAUCCCACAGGUUUGCCCAUUUGCCCAGGAUACACAGUCAAGAACGUGGAUGCAGGGCUCAGGUCUGACCCAUUUCUAAGAUAGAGGAGGCUGGUGACAGACAAGAUCCUGUGGCAGGAAGGGACAGGCAGGAAAACUCUUACAUAGGUUCUGAAUCCUCUCUGCACUGGCUCAUUUCUUCUUGCAAACAGGGGCCUUGCCCAAGCACCUGUUCCCAGGACAUCUGGUUGAGAGAGAUACCCACUUGGCUAGAUCUGGCCUAGCCUCUGGGACAGACCUUCUGCACCAAGGCACCUCAUAAGCUACUAGUCAGCUUGUGGUCCUGUGGUCUGAUCAGCCAGCCAGUGAGCUGUGAGCAGGAACCACGAAGGCAGGCACUGUGGGUAGGGCAUCCAUUAGUUAGGUCUGGGUCUCUGCUUCCCUGAGGAGAUAGGAUCUGAUCACCCUGGAACAGUGACAACACUGAGGCUCUGCUAGAGGAGCAGUCUAUAGAGAGCAGUUCUCUUCUCUGAGGGUGAGGUGGUACACUUAACAUGUCAUGGCUGCCAGGGCUGCUGGGCCUCGGGUCUCACAUUCCAGUGGGCUCCUUCAUGAGUUGGUGAGGUAGGCAUGAAAAGAUCCAACAGCCACUGCCAGGUAGGUAUUUGUGUCCAAACUGAGCCUAUCGUUGGGAGGCCCAGAGACAGCCCGAAAGAAAGAAAAUGGGUUAAGUGAAUCCCCUUCAUCUUCUUGAAUGGGAUGUGGAAGUCUGAGGGUUUAAGGAAGAAAAACCCCUCCCUCUAGAUAGGCAGGACAUACAGGUGAAGAUGAAGGACGUUUGAUACCUCGGUGAAGCACAGUGAACAGUGCCUGCAAAGGUGUGAGCCCAAG